UUGCUUCAGCAGCACACGUUAUAAAACUGGAAUGGUUUAGGAAGAUUAACAUGGUCUCUGCACAAGGAUGUCAUGCAAGCUCGUGACAUGAAGCAUUCCAUG